CCCUGCAGGAGAGCAAGUAAGGGACGGCUCUAGUCGUGUCGGCCAUCCAAGAUCCCCUCCACUCUCCUCUCGGCAGGACCUAAGGGACAGGCGCCCCGCUAAAGCCUCCGCAAACCUGGGAAAGGGCUGAGCCACAGAAGCAGCACCCGGACCGGUUUACCCAGUUCCAGGAACCUGGGGCGAGGUCCGCGCGUCCGAGCCGGGAAGGCGCAGGCCUAGGCCGGGCGGGGCGGGGCCUCGAUCUCCGCCAGGAAAUAGGAGUCCCAGGCGGGGAGUUUGAGGCUGCUGAAGCUCCCCACGUGUCCAGAGGAGCCCAGAACCCCACACCGGUGUCCACGGGGAACUAGAGCCCCCGCAGCAGUGUCUCGUGGCGCUCGGAUCCACACACGUGUGCUCAGGGGGGUCCACA